rnacentral:rRNA from 1 species
CAGUUCGGACUGGAGUCUGCAACCCGACUCCACGAAGCUGGAUUCGCUAGUAAUCGCGCAUCAGCCACGGCGCGGUGAAUACGUUCCCGGGCCUUGUACACACCGCCCGUCAAGCCAUGGGAGCCGGGGGUACCUGAAGUGCGUAACCGCGAGGAUCGCCCUAGGGUAAAACUGGUGACUGGGGCUAAGUCGUAACAAGGUAUC